rnacentral:rRNA from 1 species
UAGCUUUAAGAAAUUUAUUUAAAGUUUUACCUGCCCGGUGGAAAUACUUAACGGCCGCAGUACUUUGACUGUGCUAAGGUAGCAUAAUAAAUUGGCUUUUAAUUAAAGUCGGGAAUGAAAGGGACUUCGGAAAAUAACUGUCUUAAAUAUAUAUUAUUUUAAUUUAAUUAAUGAGUGAAAAUUCUCAUAAAUAUUUUUAUUAGACGAGAAGACCCUAAGAGUUAUAAUUAAGAUGAUUUUAUAUCAUGUAUCAUUUUUGUUGGGGCAACAUAGACUGGAUAUAACCGUCAUAAGUUAAUUUUACAUAGCCAAAAUAUUUAACAAGAAAUAAACUACCUURGGGAUAACAGCAUAAUUAAUUUUUUAGAUUGUGACCUCGAUGUUGGAUUAGGGACUUAAUUUACUAGCCGUAAAUUAAGAUAGUUCUGUUCGAACUGAAUACCCU